UAGGUUUACCAAACACUGCAGAAGACAGCAAACAAACAAAAUGGAAACCAAGAAAAGGACUUAUACUACCUGGUUAUGGAGUUUCAAAAAAAUAUCCUUAAACAGUGUGAUUCUCUCCUGUUCUGGGUGAAGGUCAUGCUGCAUGAAAAUUAAAGUCCCUUUGAUGAUCUGCUAUGCCUUGGCAAAUGCAAUUGACCUUCUUUGAGAGGUGAAAAUUGCCUUCUGUCUCACCUAGGGUCAGGCUAAACUAUUCAAGCUUACAACAAAACAACCCCUUUUCCUCCUUUUAAUUUGUAAGGUGGACUUUAGCCAUCUGACCCUACUUUGGGACAAAUGUAUUGCCAAUGGGAAAAAUAGAACAUUAAUACUUUUUAGUGUCUUUUUCAACCAAUAACAAUGGCCUAUCUAACUACAUUUUCUGUCCUCAGUUGGGAAGGAGGGGAAGACUUAUGCACGGACAUUUGGCAGUCUGCCGGCUGUUCGGUACAUUUCAUUUCAAUUGCUGCUUUCUCUUACUUUCUGAAUAAACUCUUUUUAACCAAGUCUUGCUUGAACACAUUGUAGUUGGCCCUAGGUGGCACUUUUAAGCCCUAAGGACUACUUUAAGGAGAUUGAUACAUCAAAGGAUGUUCCAAGUCACUCCAGAAAUGUACUAACAAGUUAAGGACUUGUGAAACAUGCCUAGUUGGAAUGGUGAUUUGGUCUGAAAACACUUUAAUCUGUGUUUUAGGUCAGGACUCUUCUGAUUUCAAGGGAUGAUGGGUAACAGAAUAAAAAAGUAUGCUGCCUUUCUUGAACCACUUAGGGAAAAAAUAUAGACUGUCUUUUAACACUUGCAAAGUGAAGUCAUUGCAUGAGUCUACCUUAUCUGGCUGGCAUUUCUAGUUUAUUUUGCUGCUGCUGCUGGUUUUGUUACUGUUCCCUUUUCCAAUUGCUUUUUCUGAUCUUUGCAUGAACAUGGUUUUCUUAUGUUUUUGUAUUACACCUCUGUAAUAGUGGAAAAGGGUUCCAUAGCCUUUUCGCAAUACUUUCUCUAAAUUAUGUUAUUAGAAGAUUGCAGGGUUUUUUUGUUGUUUGGGGUUGUUUUUAUUUGUUUAUUUGUUUGUUUGUUUGUUUUCCCACUCUGUCACAUUUCUGUUUGCUACUAAAUCACAAAAUGAAAAUGAGGUCCUUGUAAAAUGCAAGAAUAUCCUGGAACACUUUUAGCAAUUCCAAAGGAUCUAGAACUUGGAUAGAGCAGCACGCUAUUCAAAAUUAUGAAAGGAUAUUAUUAAGGAUAUUAUUAAGGAUAAUAGAUCUUUAAUGAAAACAACAUAGAUGCUUAAAUAAAGACAUAAAAAAUUUUGUCUUCUUUACUGGGCAAAAUAUUUUAACAUGUCUCCUGUAUUGUCCAAUUACCAUGUUAAACCCUUUUCAUUAAAUGAUAUCUUGGAGUGUAAUUUGUGGAAAUGAAAAUUUGGUCCACAUAAAAAUAACUAGUAUUUCUAAAGUAAACAGUAGAUCUCAACCUGAAUAUGUAUUUUGCUUUGUGCUCGUGAUUCUCAGAGUAGCCACACCCAUGCACACAUCUUUCAUAUUCAGAGGUGCAGUGGAUAUUCCUAUGGAUACUUUAAGAAUGUGUAAAUACCACCACGCAGUAACUGAAUCCAAAUUUCAGAAAAUUAUGCAUAUCUUAUUUAGUACUUUAGCAGAAUGUCUUCUGAUAAUGCUAUCCUAACCUUUGUUGCUCAAAACAGAAGUCGUGUAAAUAUCACUCUGCAAUUUUUGGGGUUUUCUAAGAAAUACUCCAGAUACUCUCAAUCUGUUAAAAUGAAUUAGGAAUAAUUUGCUUUUUAAUUCCAUUCUGUGAUUGCUGCUUAUAUAGUUUUCUUUCUAAAGGAGCUGUACUAUGUCCAGUGCUGUUGGUCUUCUAAUAUUUUCCAACAGGAUAAUAUAUAUCUUCAGAGU